AUUGAACGCUGGCGGCAUGCCUUACACAUGCAAGUCGAACGGCAGCACGGGAGCAAUCCUGGUGGCGAGUGGCGAACGGGUGAGUAAUAUAUCGGAACGUGCCCAGUCGUGGGGGAUAACGUAGCGAAAGCUACGCUAAUACCGCAUACGAUCUAUGGAUGAAAGCGGGGGAUCGCAAGACCUCGCGCGAUUGGAGCGGCCGAUAUCAGAUUAGGUAGUUGGUGGGGUAAAGGCUCACCAAGCCGACGAUCUGUAGCUGGUCUGAGAGGACGACCAGCCACACUGGGACUGAGACACGGCCCAGACUCCUACGGGAGGCAGCAGUGGGGAAUUUUGGACAAUGGGCGCAAGCCUGAUCCAGCAAUGCCGCGUGCAGGAUGAAGGCUUUCGGGUUGUAAACUGCUUUUGUACGGAGCGAAAAGGCUCUCUCUAAUACAGGGGGCUCAUGACGGUACAGUAAGAAUAAGCACCGGCUAACUACGUGCCAGCCGCCGCAGUAA
rnacentral:rRNA from 1 species